AAGAGGAUGCUGGGGCUAUGAGGAAGUGGCCAGAUAAUAUGCUGCAGUGGUCACCAAGGGAAGUGGCUGAACAGCAGACUGCAGGUCCUCUGGAAAGGGGGAACACAGUGUAUGGCAUGGCCAGAGGGCUGUGUCACUGAAGAGGACAUCCUGGUCCUUGGAGAGAUCUGGGUCCUAGAGCAGGAGUGAUGGUGGUGAGACACCACCUGAAGAAGGUGCAAAGCUAACUCCCAAAACAGCCAGCAGGAGGUGCCAAAGUGGACCUGGACAGGAUUUUGAGCAAUUGUACUACUACUGAACCCAAGGAGGCUGUUGACCCUGCUUCCCCCCUAUGCCCAUCCCAAAAAACGAUCAGCAAGAGUCAGAGGAGGAACACAAGGAGGUCAAUGAAAGACCUGUCCAGGGAAAGCCAGGAUCACUUUGAGACUCAGGACCCUGAUGGCGGCUGUGUAGAAGUGAGUCCAGUUCCUAGUCAGAAGCCAGGCUAGGCCUGAGGAGGCAGAUCCUAUGGAAGGAACCUCAACAUUCCCCCAGCCAUGGCACCUGCAGCAGCCAGACCCUCAAGGACAGGGCCUCUAUCAAAGGCUAAGCAGCUGGUUAACCUGAGGGGGAAGAAACAGAAAACUCAGGAUAACAUGUUUGCAGACCUCAUUGGAGCCUCCCAUACAACUCCAAAGACAAUGGCAAGGUGGAGGUUGUCUGAGGUUGGAGAGGGAAAAAGAAAUGGAGCUCUCCAGAGGCAGCACUACAAUUGCAAAGACAUUGUGGAGAAAGACAGGGAUAUGCAGAGGCAAUAUAGAAGCAGAAUGCUCCGCUGCCAAGCAUGCUGCUACUGGGCCCACAGAUAAUCCUGUGCCCUAAACCAGGACCGAGCCAUGUUCUGCAGCCCCUGACAGUACAGGGUACUGGGAACACCAGCAUCUGCUCCCUGCUGUAACCAGUGAUGAUCUGCCAAAAUGCUAACAACCGGUUCCCUCCUCCUCACCCCAUGAGGGGUCAUGCCCCCCCCCCCAACUCCUGCCCCAUCCAACCCCCACCACCAUGUUCCUUGACAGCCCCCACGCUGGGACCCAUGCCCUAUCUACCCCCUUCCCUGUCCCCUGACUGCCCCUUGCCACCCCAUCCAACCCUUUCUCUGAUUCCUGAUAGCACCCCAGGACCCCUACCCCAUCCAACCACCCCUUCUCUGUCCCCUGACUGUCCCUGGAAUCCCUACCCCUAACUGCCCCCACUGCCCCA